CCUACGGGACGCAGCAGUGGGGAAUAUUGGGCAAUGGGCGCAAGCCUGACCCAGCAACGCCGCGUGAAGGAAGAAGGCUUUCGGGUUGUAAACUUCUUUUCUCAGUGACGAAGCAAGUGACGGUACCUGAGGAAUAAGCCACGGCUAACUACGUGCUAGCAGCCGCGGUAAUACGUAGGUGGCAAGCGUUAUCCGGAUUUACUGGGUGUAAAGGGCGUGUGGGCGGGGACG
rnacentral:rRNA from 1 species